CACGAGACCAAAUACUGUCAGUCACGUGCAUCUGAGGCUAGGGGGCCAAGAGGCCCACAUUUCUGGAAUUUAUGAGUCUAACAUGACGCAAGUGGUCAACAAAUACUAAAAGUCAAAUGUUUCAAGGUUUAGUUUCAAGUGAAAGUAGAACAAUUUCCGUAAAGCUGCCAGUGCAGACACGAAAAUACCGAAUUUUGCGCAUGUUAGCUUAGGACUUAUGAGUUAUCAAAACCACGUUCCGUAAAAUGCCCAGCGGUUUUCACACAGAAGUCGGAUAUUAUUUCCAGAGCUGGUUGAGCAGAGGACACGUGAUUUAAGACACCUUGACAUCAUGCUGCUGUACCUGCGUUCAUGGCUGUCUGGGGCAUCCUGGAGCAUCGGCUGCAUCUCCUCCUGGGGUGAGGGGGUGAGAGUGGCUGUGGACUGGUGACUGUAAGACACGGCAGCAGGGGAAGAAGCUGCCCCACGGAUGGGAGGAGUGGGCCCCCUCUCCAUCUCUUCUUCCUCCUCCAGCUCAUCAGGCUGCAGCUUUAAUUCAAAUUCGAAUCAAGAUGGCUCAUUUAACAGGAUUCUACUGUACGACUGGACCUUAAGCCAACACUGCUGACACCUUCUCCACCUCUCUGAUAUGCCACUGAAAGAGAGAAAAUGAGUUUCUGUCAUGAUUCCACCGUCGUUAUGAUUGUCGUGAUGUCCUUAUUUUCACCACAGUCAUGUAAGUUCAACAUAAAAUUAUUUGAGUUAACUUAUUCAAUAAGAAAAUAAGUAUUUAUUUUGAAUUGCCAAUUUUGUGAAAGAUGAUUGGGAGACUUCCUUUUAAGCUAGUGCUGUGUUUUUGUUUUUGUAUCAGUGCAAGUGAGUGUGUGAUUGAAUGCGUGUGGCAUCAUUUCAGCUGAGUCAUAGACACACAUGCACACACGAAGCAACAGGAGGAUGUGUAAGAGGCUUAUGAAGAACAAAGAUGCAGAGCUCUUUGGUUGUCUGGCUCGGGUUCAGCGUGUUUGAAGCUCUGUGUGCUGCAAGUUGGACUCUUUCAAGGAGCUCUAAGCUGCCGGUGUGUGUGAAGGAGAGAUAAACUUCCAACUUUAAUUACAAUCUCUUCCCUGAGAGCAGAGAAGGUGGAAGAGGGGUAGGUUGGGCCUUAGCUGUGUUGAUUCCUUGUCUCUCUUUCAAAACAGGAAGUGUGUGGUGUGGUCUCUGCAUGUAGCCAGAGGAGAUCUUAUGCAAACUAAUUUAUCACACAGUCUGGUUAAAGAUGAAAAUCAGUAUAAUGCUCAGCAAAGUCCUGGUUUCACACAGAGUACCAGGGCAGGGAUUUUCUCUCUAAAGAGUCGAACCUAAAUGCGCAAGCAAGGACUAUGUUUCAGCUGAAAGACUUCCAUGAAACAAGCCUGCCACUGCAAAAUUAUUCUACCUGAUUGCAAGACUCAAGGCAGACAGAAAGCGCACUGCUACCGUGUGGAUACAAUCCCUGCACAGACAGGAUCAACCAGUAGAACAACAAACACAGACUGCACGGGAUUUGUCUCCUUCACUGUUACUUCCUCUUAUCUAUUCACACUGUUUCACAUUUGCCAUUUCGCUAAACACCGCCAACACCCUUUUACACACCUCAAGGGAACAAGGAAUUUCCGAGGGAUGAAAGUCCACGAGUGAAAGAAGAAGGUGGAGAGAACUGUAAAGACAGACUUGCAGGGACAGAAAGAUACAGAUAUACAAGGAGCUUUUCUUUUAUCUGUUUUAUGCUGUGUCACUUCAGCUCACAGAUAACCUCCUUAGCUCUGCUGCCACUUGCCUGUUUAAUUGGUGUGUUGGAGACUCUGGUGGUGUGUCAUUCUCCUAAAUCCCCUCUGAGGUUGCCAGCAGCCCUUUGAUCAAGUUACCACUACUAUAAAACAGAUUCUUGGUAGUGUGGCCUCUUCUUUUUUGAGCUUUAUGUUCUGAAACAGCUCAAAUAUUUGCUGGAACAUUUAUGUUGAGGUAGACCUUUAAACUGUGCCAAUUAAUGGGGCCUUUUCUUGUUUUUAUCAAGUCUUCCUCACCAACUUCUCUACAGCUGGUAAUUUCUCUAAUGAUUCUGUUAGGACUUUAAUGUUAAAGCCAUUAAAGGACGCUUUUCCCAACGGCAGUGAAAAUGUUCAUGUUGUUAUAAGAUAUUCUGGUUUGGUUUGUAUUUAAAAGGAAACAAAGAGGACACAACCUUCCCACUGAAAGAAUAACAUAUAUUGAAGGACAAACAAGGGAUCUUUGAAUAGGUUUAGGAAUCUUUUUUGGAUUUUUAUGGGGGAUGUGUAUCUGUCAUUGUCAGAUUCUGAUUGUUUUCUUGUGUUGUUUUGUUUGUCUUCCUUUUUUCCUGAAUUGGCCUUUUUUCUAUUGGGAAACUGGACUGAGAUGUGCUUAAUGUGUUGAGCACACUGUUUGGUAUUUUUAUGUUCCAAGAAGUUUGUGAAAAUGGGAAAAGGCCUGUGCUGUAGUACAUUGAGUUUAUAAAACCAUAGAUACUGUAUGUACUGCAGGAGAAGGU